rnacentral:rRNA from 1 species
UGGGGAUGACGUCAAGUCCUCAUGGCCUUUAUGACCAGGGCUACACACGUACUACAAUGGCCGAUACAAAGGGCAGCGACACUGCGAGGUGAAGCCAACUACCCGUAAAAUCGGUCUCAGUCCGGAUUGGAGUCUGCAACUCGACUCCAUGAAGUUGGAAUCGCUAGUAAUCGUGGAUCAGCAUGCCACGGUGAAUACGUUCCCGGGCCUU